GUCUUCAUGGUGUAGUGGUCAGCAUACUCGACGCGUGACCGAGAAGUCCGUGGUUCGAUUCCCGGCCAAGGCG
rfam:Stegodyphus mimosarum contig95875, whole genome shotgun sequence.